rnacentral:rRNA from 1 species
GAUGAACGCUGACAGAAUGCUUAACACAUGCAAGUCCACUUGAACUUCGGUUUGGGUGGCGGACGGGUGAGUAACGCGUAAAGAACUUGCCUCACAGUUAGGGACAACAUUUGGAAACGAAUGCUAAUACCUGAUAUUAUGAUUUUAGGGCAUCCUAGAAUUAUGAAAGCUAUAUGCGCUGUGAGAGAGCUUUGCGUCCCAUUAGCUAGUUGGAGAGGUAACGGCUCACCAAGGCGAUGAUGGGUAGCCGGCCUGAGAGGGUGAACGGCCACAAGGGGACUGAGACACGGCCCUUACUCCUACGGGAGGCAGCAGUGGGGAAUAUUGGACAAUGGACCAAGAGUCUGAUCCAGCAAUUCUGUGUGCACGAUGAAGUUUUUCGGAAUGUAAAGUGCUUUCAGUUGGGAAGAAAAAAAAUGACGGUACCAACAGAAGAAGUGACGGCUAAAUACGUG